CCUACGGGCGGCAGCAGUGGGGAAUAUUGCACAAUGGGGGGAACCCUGAUGCAGCGACGCCGCGUGAGUGAAGAAGUAUUUCGGUAUGUAAAGCUCUAUCAGCAGGGAAGAAAAUGACGGUACCUGACUAAGAAGCCCCGGCUAACUACGUGCCAGCAGCCGCGGUAAGACGUAGGGGGCAAGCGUUAUCCGGAUUUACUGGGUGUAAAGGGAGCGUAGACGGGUGUGCAAGUCUGGAGUGAAAGGGGGGGGCCCAACCGGCGGACUGCCAUGGAAACUGUAAAGUUGGAGUGCAGGAGAGGUAGGCGGAAUUCGUGGUGUAGCGGUGAAAUGCGUAGAGAGUAGGAGGAA
rnacentral:rRNA from 1 species